rnacentral:rRNA from 1 species
UCAAGUGAAGAAGCGCAUACGGUGGAUGCCUUGGCAGUCAGAGGCGAUGAAAGACGUGGUAGCCUGCGAAAAGCUUCGGGGAGUCGGCAAACAGACUGUGAUCCGGAGAUGUCUGAAUGGGGGAACCCAGCCAUCAUAAGAUGGUUAUCUUACACUGAAUACAUAGGUGUAAGAGGCGAACCAGGGGAACUGAAACAUCUAAGUACCCUGAGGAAAAGAAAUCAACCGAGAUUCCCUUAGUAGUGGCGAGCGAACGGGGACCAGCCCUUAAGUUGUAUUGAGAUUAGCGGAACGCUCUGGAAAGGGCGGCCAUAGUGGGUGAUAGCCCUGUACGCGAAAAUCCCUUUGCAAUGAAAUCGAGUAGGACGGGGCACGAGAAACCUUGUCUGAAUAUGGGGGGACCAUCCUCCAAGGCUAAAUACUACUGACUGACCGAUAGUGAACCAGUACCGUGAGGGAAAGGCGAAAAGAACCGCGGAGAGCGGAGUGAAAUAGAUCCUGAAACCGUAUGCGUACAAGCAGUGGGAGCCCACUUUGUUGGGUGACUGCGUACCUUUUGUAUAAUGGGUCAGCGACUUAUUUUCAGUGGCGAGCUUAACCGAAUAGGGGAGGCGUAGCGAAAGCGAGUCUUAAUAGGGCGUCUAGUCGCUGGGAAUAGACCCGAAACCGGGCGAUCUAUCCAUGGGCAGGUUGAAGGUUGGGUAACACUAACUGGAGGACCGAACCGACUACCGUUGAAAAGUUAGCGGAUGACCUGUGGAUCGGAGUGAAAGGCUAAUCAAGCUCGGAGAUAGCUGGUUCUCCUCGAAAGCUAUUUAGGUAGCGCCUCAUGUAUCACUGUAGGGGGUAGAGCACUGUUUCGGCUAGGGGGUCAUCCCGACUUACCAAACCGAUGCAAACUCCGAAUACCUACAAGUGCCGAGCAUGGGAGACACACGGCGGGUGCUAACGUCCGUCGUGAAAAGGGAAACAACCCAGACCGUCAGCUAAGGUCCCAAAGUCAUGGUUAAGUGGGAAACGAUGUGGGAAGGCUUAGACAGCUAGGAGGUUGGCUUAGAAGCAGCCACCCUUUAAAGAAAGCGUAAUAGCUCACUAGUCGAGUCGGCCUGCGCGGAAGAUGUAACGGGGCUCAAACCAUGCACCGAAGCUACGGGUAUCAUCUUUUGAUGAUGCGGUAGAGGAGCGUUCUGUAAGCCUGUGAAGGUGAGUUGAGAAGCUUGCUGGAGGUAUCAGAAGUGCGAAUGCUGACAUGAGUAACGACAAUGGGUGUGAAAAACACCCACGCCGAAAGACCAAGGUUUCCUGCGCAACGUUAAUCGACGCAGGGUUAGUCGGUCCCUAAGGCGAGGCUGAAAAGCGUAGUCGAUGGAAAACAGGUUAAUAUUCCUGUACUUCUGGUUAUUGCGAUGGAGGGACGGAGAAGGCUAGGCCAGCCUGGCGUUGGUAGUCCAGGUUUAAGGUGGUAGGCUGAGAUCUUAGGUAAAUCCGGGAUCUUAAGGCCGAGAGCUGAUGACGAGUGUUCUUUUAGAACAUGAAGUGGUUGAUGCCAUGCUUCCAAGAAAAGCUUCUAAGCUUCAGGUAACCAGGAACCGUACCCCAAACCGACACAGGUGGUUGGGUAGAGAAUACCAAGGCGCUUGAGAGAACUCGGGUGAAGGAACUAGGCAAAAUGGCACCGUAACUUCGGGAGAAGGUGCGCCGGUGAGGGUGAAGCAUUUACUGCGUAAGCCCACGCCGGUCGAAGAUACCAGGCCGCUGCGACUGUUUAUUAAAAACACAGCACUCUGCAAACACGAAAGUGGACGUAUAGGGUGUGACGCCUGCCCGGUGCCGGAAGGUUAAUUGAUGGGGUUAGCGCAAGCGAAGCUCUUGAUCGAAGCCCCGGUAAACGGCGGCCGUAACUAUAACGGUCCUAAGGUAGCGAAAUUCCUUGUCGGGUAAGUUCCGACCUGCACGAAUGGCGUAACGAUGGCGGCGCUGUCUCCACCCGAGACUCAGUGAAAUUGAAAUCGCUGUGAAGAUGCAGUGUAUCCGCGGCUAGACGGAAAGACCCCGUGAACCUUUACUAUAGCUUUGCACUGGACUUUGAAUUUGCUUGUGUAGGAUAGGUGGGAGGCUUUGAAGCGUGGACGCCAGUCUGCGUGGAGCCAACCUUGAAAUACCACCCUGGCAACUUUGAGGUUCUAACUCAGGUCCGUUAUCCGGAUCGAGGACAGUGUAUGGUGGGUAGUUUGACUGGGGCGGUCUCCUCCUAAAGAGUAACGGAGGAGUACGAAGGUGCGCUCAGACCGGUCGGAAAUCGGUCGUAGAGUAUAAAGGCAAAAGCGCGCUUGACUGCGAGACAGACACGUCGAGCAGGUACGAAAGUAGGUCUUAGUGAUCCGGUGGUUCUGUAUGGAAGGGCCAUCGCUCAACGGAUAAAAGGUACUCCGGGGAUAACAGGCUGAUACCGCCCAAGAGUUCAUAUCGACGGCGGUGUUUGGCACCUCGAUGUCGGCUCAUCACAUCCUGGGGCUGAAGCCGGUCCCAAGGGUAUGGCUGUUCGCCAUUUAAAGUGGUACGCGAGCUGGGUUUAGAACGUCGUGAGACAGUUCGGUCCCUAUCUGCCGUGGACGUUUGAGAUUUGAGAGGGGCUGCUCCUAGUACGAGAGGACCGGAGUGGACGAACCUCUGGUGUUCCGGUUGUCACGCCAGUGGCAUUGCCGGGUAGCUAUGUUCGGAAAAGAUAACCGCUGAAAGCAUCUAAGCGGGAAACUUGCCUCAAGAUGAGAUCUCACUGGAACCUUGAGUUCCCUGAAGGGCCGUCGAAGACUACGACGUUGAUAGGUUGGGUGUGUAAGCGCUGUGAGGCGUUGAGCUAACCAAUACUAAUUGCCCGUGAGGCUUGA